AAAGUAUUUUAAAAUUAUUUUUCCCAGAAUUUUAUUUUCUUCUGGGAUUUCAACAUUCAGGAUUCUGGUGUUCAGGGAUUGUGUCUUCUGGGACUAUUAUCAGCUCCCCUCAACAAAAACAGAAGAGUCUAGAUGUAGGAUGGCCAUUUUUGAGUACUGAAAGAAAAGAAUUGUCAACUCAAAAUCUUAUUUCCAGUGAAAAUAUCCUUUGAGAAUGAAGAAGGGAUCAAGACAUUAUGUUAUGAGACUGGGAUAUUAUUGAAGGCUUUUGUUUUAACUGGCUUCUUCUGAUAACGCUUUUGCAGGGGAGGGUGAGGUGCCACUUCAUUACUGCUAAGUGGAGGUAGAAGUCCAGGAUUCUCCCUAAAUUUCCACUGAUAACUGAGGGGAAGGCCAUCAUUACAGAGGUCCAGCUAUGGUUUAGGAAACUAACAAAUGAUGUCAAGGCAGCAGGAACAGCUAUCAGGAGGUCUUAGGGGCACUAGGCUUGUUACUCCCCUAAGCAAUAGUAGUGAGUGGAGUUACUGAUACCUAGAGGUGCUGUGGUCGUGGGCAGAGGGAUGAAGUCACUGCUCCCUUGCUAGGGAGAGUAGGUGUGCAUUAUUACUGCUCUCCACAUCCUCCACUACCUCCAUGGUGGAGGGAUGACCUUAUUGGUGAUGAGCAGAGAUGAAAUUCUUGAUUCUCCAUGGGCCUCCUCUCAUACCACCCAGUAGGAAGACAGAGGGACACCUUGUUACUUCCAGGUAAGAAUGGAAGUGCUGGCUCCCUAUUUGGUCUUCACUGGCAUGGUAGGAAAAGAGGAAACUUGUAAUCACUCAGCAGGAAUGAACAUUUUGGUUCCCUAGUUAGUCUUCUCUGAUCAUCCAGCAGGUGUUCUGAGGUGCCUUGUUAUAGCCUGGUGAGAUUGGAUCCUUCAGUUAAUCACUCAGCCUUUGCUGGCAUGGGGAUGAGGGGUGGGCAUAACUUUUCUGUGGUGUUUAGCUGGAAUAGACUAGAUAUUCUCUAAAAUAUUUUAUUUUAUUUUUGGUCUCAUUAGGCUGCCUUUUACUUUGGCUAGAGAGAACAGAGUUUUGUUAUGGCUUUUUUCUGUCUGCACAUAUUUUCAUUAAUUUGUUUCCAGCUUUAUCACCUCCAAAUUUUGUACAAGGAAAAAAUAUACCCCCAAACUAGAAAAUUAUAUCAUGUUUCCUUUUUGUCCUGAGUUCCUUAGAUCAUUUACAUUCUUCUUUCCACCUUUCAGAGUCUUAUGCCUGUCUGUCUAUCUAUCUAUCUAUCUAUCUAUCUAUCUAUCUAUCUAUCUAUCUAUCUAUCUAACAUAUAGCUAUCAUCUGCCUGUAUAUCUAUUAAUCUAUUAUAUCAUCUGUCUAUCACAUUCAGGAUUUAAAAUCAUACUUAGGAAUAGGGAAAAGUAUGUCUACUUUCUUUCCCCAGAAUCUGAAGUCUGAAUUCCAUUUUUAAAAGAAGUUGCAGAACUUAAAAGUCAGGUAUUUUUUUUAUGUUCCAUUUGCCCCUCUUGAAAAAUAAUCUGUGUUUAAUCUUUGCCACAGAAAUUUGUCCUCUACAAAUUGCAACUCCUGUGCUUCCAUGACCUCUGGCUUCCCACUGAGUUUAGCUGCAGAAUACACCUGCAAAAGACUUGGAAUUCACAGGACAAAAAUGUUAGGGUGAUUAUUUGCCUUGCUCCCUCCCUGGCAGGCCAUGGUUCUAGCAGUGACUCCAUUGCCUGCCCAUGGCCACAGCACAUUCUCGGUAUCAGUCACUCCACUCACUACUCUUGCUUAGUGGAGUGACAAGGCUAGUGUUCAUAAAGCUUUCUCCUGACUGUUCUUGGUGCGUUCCCAUUCCUUGUUGGUUUCUUCAACCAUACCCAGACCUUUUAAAUUUGUUAUUUCAUAAAACUCUCCACAAAUAUUUGUUAUCUUCUGGGAAACUGAAUGACUUACCAAGAAACUGAUUUUUUUUUCCUCCGCCUCUUUUUGGAGCAAUUGAAGGCAACCUCCAGCAGCUCUAAUUGAUGUUGGUCAAAUGCAAGCAGGAAGUGAGGAAAGGCAUAUUAGUUAAUAUCCUCCAACAAAUCUGUCACUGUAUAACAUGCCUAGACCUUUUUCUCUAAGGUUCAGCUGAUUCCCAUGUGAUCACUGACUAAGUUAAUCAUGUGAAGAUCACAUGGAUCAUGGGAGAAAUAUUAUUAAACCCUUCCCAGUUAAACUUCGGGGAAUCCUUGCUCAAAUUAGCCUUGUUGUUGAAGUAGCUCUAAUUUGUGUAGUUAGACAAAUAAAUAUACAGUUAUCAACAUAAAUAUAGAUGCAGAGGAUGUAGAUAUAUUUAUCAUUGAUUAAAGAGCUGAUUUUUGCCUCUGUUUAACUUCUGAAGAUAUUCUAAUACUGUCCUUUAUCCUUUCAUUUUCCUGAUGUAAAGAAAAAAUGCUCGGUCAUUGCUAUCUUUGAUCAGACUCAUUUAGAAAAUCAUUUCAUAGACUUGUCACUUCUCUAGUUCUCUUUUCUGUAGAAUACAUUUGGUCACUAACAUUUCCUAUUCUUCUGCAAAAUCUAUUCUCUUUUUUUCCCAGCAGUGAAGCCACUUUGCUGAAUAAGGUGAUGGGCGACUUGUAAGGAGAUUUGAAUGUGUACAUUGGCUCUAGUUCAUAAAAAUGGUCUGCUGAAAAUAUGGACUAUGUGUACAGCUGAUUUUCAUCUUAGGUAAUAAUGGGAUUUUCAUCUUUCGUUACUAUGGGAACUGAACCAUAGUGCCAUAUUAAAGUGCAAGACUGGUGCUAAGAACUUUGGCCAAAUCAGUAAAACUGGUGAAAUCCCCAUCCAUUUGGAAUCUGUCUGUGUGCAAAACCACAGUUCAACUAGAGGACAACGUAGAGGCAUUAGCAGAACAUGUAAUGAGGGUGACCUGGGGUUGCCACAUAUCCAUUGAGUUUCAAAAGAAUACCGUGAUCCUAAUUCUGUGAAGAAAGAGCUUAUGAAUAAAUCUCACCUCAAGAAGAAAGAAAGUACAUGAGAACCCUUUUACCAACUUGUGGAAACUUCAAAGGAUCCAAGCAUUGCAUCACCAUCUCCAGAAGCUGCUGCCUUGUCCGUGCCAGAUGAUAAUUUGGGCAUAGGCACAAAUCAAUACCAGGAAUGGGUGUGCUGGGAGCGUGCACUAUUCACCCCCACCUUGUAAGCCCUACUCUGUGCCACAGGAGGCUGACCUAAGUGGGCAGCAUAAACCAGGCUCCUUUGCCCUGUAUCUCAGUUGUAUUUGAGCAAUGGAAGCCACAGAGUGGGGAUAAAAAUCCUUAUCUCAAAGAAUCAUGAGAAUUAAAGAGAAAAAAACGACGAUGGUGGUGCCCUCUUGAGACCUGUCGGCUGUCUGACCUUGAGAAAGUGGGUGGACUAUUUCUGGCUGAGAGUGGAAAGAGAAAUCACAUGGGAAAGGAAAUCCUCACACGCGUGUCAGCUGAAAUUUGGAUGGUGAUGAAAUUCAGAUGAUUUAGAUGGACCAGCAUGGAUAUUUCCCUGGCAUAACUUGUUAUUUUACAUCUGUGGAGCAGCAGUGAGUUGAUUGUGUCUUCCUGAAGAUCAAGACUGAAUCAGCAGUUUGCUGUGGAGAGUGUUUCCGUGCACUGGAGAAGGAAGAGCACACUUCUGUAUGCUGGAGGAGGGAGAGCACAGCAAUUGUGAAGCAUUGAAGUCAGUGCUGUGCUACUAUAGCAGAAAGAAAAACUGGACCAAACUCAGUUGCCACCAGCUCACAGAGAGAGCAUUUAAACCAGCCCUAGUGAGAGAGGAAUUGCUGAUCCCGCGGUCAGAACUUGAGUUCCCAGAGGCCUUGCCACUACAGACUAAAGUGCUCUGGGGCUCUAAAUAAACUUGAAAGGCAUUCUAGGCUGCAAUUCCAGGUGACUCCUAGUGCUGAACUGGGCCUGUAGCCAGACCACUGAAGGGACAUGCAACCUCCUGAGACACCAGUCAGUGUGGGGCUAAGGGGGUGUUGCCAUCACCCCUCCUCUAACCCCAGGCUACACAGCUCAUGGCUUCUAAUAAGAUCCCUCCCUACUGCUUGAGGAGAGGAGAGGGAAGAGUGUGGAGGACUUUAUCUUGCAUCCUUGAUACUAGCUCAGCCAUAGCAGGACAAGGCACUAGUCAGAGUUGUGAGGCCACCUUUCCAGGCCCUAGCUCCCAUAUGAUAUUCCUAGAUACAACCUGGGCCACAAGAGAACCUGUUGCCUUGAUGGGAAUGACCUAGUCCUGGCAGCAUUCAUCACCUGUUAACUGAAGAGUAUUUGGGCCUUGAAUAACCAGCAGUGAUACCUAGGUACUAGUCGAGGGCCUUGGGUGAAACUCUGAGACAUACGACUUCAGGUGAGACUCAACACAUUCCCAUCUAUGGUGACUAUGGGGCAAGACUCCCUCUGUUUGAGAAAAGAAGAGGGAAAAUAAAGGGGACUCUGUCUUUCACCAUAUGUACCAACUCAGCCAAAAUGAGGUAGAGGACCAAGUGGGUUCUUGGGGCCCCUGAUUCCAGCACUUGACUCUUCGAUGGCAUUUCUGGACCUGUCCUCUGCCAGAGGGGAGCCCAGUGCCUUGAAGGGUAAGUCCCAGGCCAGGCAGCAUUUGCCACAGCUAUUUCCACAGGUUAAGCCCUUGGGACUUAAAGAAACAUAGGUGGCAGUCUGGCAGUACUCCUUGUGGCCUGUGGUGGCAGUGGCCAUGGGGUGAGUCUCCUCAGCCUUUGGAAAGUGAGGAGGAGAGUGGGAAAGACUGUGUCUUGUGGCUUGAGUGCCAGCCCAGCCUCAGUACAAUAGAACACCAGAUAGAAUUCUAAGAUUUUAGACUCUAGUCCCUGGCUUCUGGGCAGCACCUCUGUACCCACCCAGGUCCUAGGGAACUCACAGCCUUGAAGUGAAAGACACAGCCCUGGCUGAAUUUACCACCUGAUAAUUGCAGAGCCUGAGGGCCUUGAGAAAGCAUAGGCAGUAGCCAGGGAGUGGUUACAGCAGGUUUUGGGUGAGACCCAGCACUGUACUGGCCUCAAGUCAGAUCCAGAACAGAAUGGUGGUAGCCAAAAGGGUCCUUGUGUCACUCCACCCCCAGAUUCAAGUGGCUCAGAACAGAGUGAGAAGCCCCAUUUGUUUGGAAGAAAGUAAGGGAAGAGAACAAGAAUCUCUGCCUGUUAAUCCAGAGAAUUCUUUCAGAUCUCGUCUAAGAUCAUUAAGGCAGUGCCCCUACAAGUCUGCGAGAACCACAGUGUUACUACACUUGGGGUGCUCCCUAAAGCAGAUAUAACUUAGAUCACAAAACCCAAGAAAUUUUUAAGAUCUGGGAAGUCUUUCCAAGGACCACAGGUACAAACUACCAUAGACUGUGACGACUACAAUACAUACAUAACUUCAUUGCCGAGACACAGAUGAACAUCUACAAGUAUCAAAACACUCCAGAAAAACAUGACCUCACUAAAUGAACUAAAUAAGGUACCAAUGACCAAUCCUGGAAAAGCAGAGAUAUAUGACCUUUCAGACAGAAAAUUCAAAACAGCUGUUUUCAGGAAACUCAAAAAAAUUUAAGAUACACAUAGAAAGUAUUCAGAAUUAUAUCAGAUAAAUUUUACAGUCAGAUUGAAAUAGGUUAACAGAAUCAAGCAGAAAUUCUGGAGCUGACAAAUGCAAUUGGCAUACUGAAGAAU